rnacentral:rRNA from 1 species
AUUGAACGCUGGCGGCGUGCUUAACACAUGCAAGUCGUGCGGUAACAGGCGUAGCAAUACGUGCUGACGAGCGGCGAACGGGUGCGUAAUACAUGGGAAUCUGCCCUUUAGUGGGGAAUAACCCGGCGAAAGCCGGGCUAAUGCCGCAUAAGAUCUUCGGAUGAAAGCGGGGAUCGUAAGACCUCGCGCUGAUGGAUGAGCCCAUGUCGGAUUAGCUAGNGGUGAGGUAACGGCUCACCAAGGCGACGAUCCGUAGCUGGUCUGAGAGGACGGCCAGCCACACUGGGACUGAGACACGGGCCCAGACUCCUACGGGAGGCAGCAGUGGGGAAUAUUGGACAAUGGGGAAACCCUGAUCCAGCGACGCCGCGUGUGUGAAGAA